GGGACUGUAGCUCAGUGGUAGAGCAUCUGCUUUGUGUGCAGAAGGUCCCAGGUUCAGUCCCUGGCAGCAUCUCCA